rnacentral:rRNA from 1 species
UACGUAGGGGGCAAGCGUUGUCCGGAUUUAUUGGGCGUAAAGAGCUCGUAGGCGGCUCGGUAAGUCGGAUGUGAAACCUCCAGGCUCAACCUGGAGACGCCAUCUGAUACUGCCGUGGCUUGAGUCCGGUAGAGGAGCAGGGAAUUCCUGGUGUAGCGGUGAAAUGCGCAGAUAUCAGGAGGAACACCAGCGGCGAAGGCGCUGCUCUGGGCCGGUACUGACGCUGAGGAGCGAAAGCGUGGGGAGCAAACAGG